ensembl:snRNA U6 U6 spliceosomal RNA
GCGCUUACUGCGGCAGUACAUUUACUCAAAUUGGAACAAUGCAGAGAGGAUUGGCAUGGCCACUGCGUAAAGGUGACAUUAAAAUUUACAAAGUAUUUGAUGAUUAU